rnacentral:rRNA from 1 species
UACAGGGGGGGCAAGCGUUGUCCGGAUUUAUUGGGCGUAAAGAGCGCGUAGGCGGCCGUGUAAGUCCGACGUGAAAUCUGGAGGCUCAACCUCCAGCGGUCGUUGGAAACUACCCGGCUAGAGUCCGGAAGAGGAGAGUGGAAUUCCUGGUGUAGCGGUGAAAUGCGCAGAUAUCAGGAAGAACACCGAUGGCGAAAGCAGCUCUCUGGGACGGUACUGACGCUGAGGCGCGAAAGCGUGGGGAGCGAACAGG